UGGGGAAUAUUGCACAAUGGGCGCAAGCCUGAUGCAGCCAUGCCGCGUGUAUGAAGAAGGCCUUCGGGUUGUAAAGUACUUUCAGCGGGGAGGAAGGGAGUAAAGUUAAUACCUUUGCUCAUUGACGUUACCCGCAGAAGAAGCACCGGCUAACUCCGUGCCAGCAGCCGCGGUAAUACGGAGGGUGCAAGCGUUAAUCGGAAUUACUGGGCGUAAAGCGCACGCAGGCGGUUUGUUAGGUCAGAUGUGAAAUCCCCGGGCUCAACCUGGGAACUGCAUCUGAUACUGGCAAGCUUGAGUCUCGUAGAGGGGGGUAGAAUUCCAGGUGUAGCGGUGAAAUGCGUAGAGAUCUGGAGGAAUACCGGUGGCGAAGGCGGCCCCCUGGACAAAGACUGACGCUCAGGUGCGAAAGCGUGGGGAGCAAACAGG
rnacentral:rRNA from 1 species